GAUGAACGCUAGCGGCAGGCCUAAUACAUGCAAGCCGAACGGCAAGUUGAGUAGCAAUACUUGACCUAGAGUGGCGUAAGGGUGCGUAACACGUAUGCAAUCUGCCCUCAACAGGAGGAUAGCUCCCCGAAAGGGGAAUUAACCCUCCAUGGGAUCUUAGAGUGGCAUCACUUAGAGAUUAAACCGCAAGGGGUUGAGGAUGAGCAUGCGCAUGAUUAGUUAGUUGGCGGGGUAACGGCCCACCAAGACGAUGAUCAUUAGGGGAACUGAGAGGUUGAUCCCCCACACUGGC
rnacentral:rRNA from 1 species